AACGCUAGCUACAGGCUUAACACAUGCAGGUCGAGGGGCAGCACAGUGUAGCAAUACAUGGGUGGCGACCGGCGCACGGGUGCGUAACGCGUAUCCAACCUUCCCGAUACUCUUGGAUAGCCUUCCGAAAGGGAGAUUAAUACAAGAUGGUGUUUCACUUUCGCAUGUUAUCGAAACUAAAGAUUUAUCGGUAUCGGAUGGGGAUGCGUGACAUUAGGUAGAUGGCGGGGUAACGGCCCACCAUGCCUUCGAUGUCUAGGGGUUCUGAGAGGAAGGUCCCCCACACUGGAACUGAGACACGGUCCAGACUCCUACGGGAGGCAGCAGUGAGGAAUACUGGUCAAUGGGCGGAAGCCUGAACCAGCCAAGUAGCGUGAAGGAUUACAGCCCUACGGGUUUUAAACUUCUUUUAUAUAAGAGUAAUGUGCACUACGUGUAGUGUAUUGCAAGUAUUAUAUGAAUAAGCAUCGGCUAACUCCGUGCCAGCAGCCGCGGUAAUACGGAGGAUGCGAGCGUUAUCCGGAUUUAUUGGGUUUAAAGGGAGCGUAGACGGGAUGUUAAGUCAGUUGUGAAAGGCUGCGGCUCAACCGCAGCACUGCAGUUGAUACUGGCGUCCUUGAGUGCGGUUGAGGUAUGUGGAAUUCGUGGUGUAGCGGUGAAAUGCUUAGAUAUCACGAAGAACUCCGAUUG
rnacentral:rRNA from 1 species